AGCCCUUCGGAUCCGUGCAGAGAUUUCGUCGGACACCAACCCAUUCAGGCUGAUCAGACCUCCGAGAUACGUGAAGUU
rnacentral:pre_miRNA from 1 species